UUUCUCUUCUCUUCUCAUCGCCUCCCCUGAAGAGAUUGGGGUUUCAGUCAAAUAGAUUAGAGAUUAUAGUUUGACAACAGUUUCGAUCAUUUAUUUUCAGAUGCAGAUGGGAAUGAAGUUGACUGAGAAGCUACAAAGGGUUGCGAUUGCUUCUGCUAGUGCUGAUGGUGCCGUCCUAACAACUUCUAAAGGUAAUUUUGAUGUUUUGGGUUGUUGGUUAUUUUUAGUAUUCUUCAAUGUAAACCCAAAUCUCUUGUGAGAGUGUUGUUUGCAGUCUAUACUCUUAAUUAGAAUCUAUUGGAGAAAAAGUAGCAAGAUGAAGAUUCUGCAGUAUUGGGAACUCCUAGCUUCCGUGGACAGGGAAGAUGUAAUGGUGAGAGGAGAAGGAAGUCUGUCCGUGGAUGCAUCGUGAGCCAAGAGAUGUCUGUGUUGAACUUGGUUUUCUUGAAGAAGGGAAAGAAUGAUCCACCUGGGUUGACUGAUAUGGAGCAUGGAUAAGGUACUGAGGCAGCGGUAAUGUGAACAGAAUGUGGAAAAGAGGAGAUCCUUCUAGAUUCAUUACUCAUGGGGGUAAUUUCUUAUCAAGUAUAAAGGAUAUCGAGAAUCGGUUUUUCAGAGCUUCUGAAUGUGGAAAAGAGGUGUCCAAAAUGCUUGAAACUAACAAAACUGCGUCCAAAUUUUCUGAUGGUAAAGAACCUCCAAAACAGGUGACAAAGGCUAUUACAUGGUACCGGUGGCCAUCUUCACAGUCGUCUUCAUUAAGAAAUCGCCUCACUUCAGCAUCGAGAGAUGAUGGCUAUGAGAGCGGGAGCGACUUUAAUGAAGAGUUUUAAAUGAUCACAGGAAGUUACUCGUCCACCUUGGACAGACUGUACGCAUGGGAAAUGAAGCUCUAUGAUGAAGUGAAGAGAAAACCAUUGAAGGUACUGCUGCGUAUUCAGGAGACGUUAUACCCAUUGUGCAGCUUCAGGAUAUGAACAUUAUGCAAUAAACAACGCAGGUUGUUGGAAGCAGACUCGUGAUGGAAAGACAUACUCUGCCUGUGAUGCAAACGACAAAGUUGGAGGAAGAUUUAUAUAGUUCAGUUACAAAUUACUUGGAAUGCAUGUUGGACCUACAACUGCUGGAAGAGGAGAAUCAUAUCCGUUGAACAAAAGAGAAGGUCAAUUCAUUACCUGGCAUAUCGUCUAUUUUACUACUAAUCAUCUAAUUUACUGAUGGGGUAUUGAAUUUCUAAAAAAAAUUCUCAAGUAUGAGUUGAAGUGUCACCUCAACAAUUUCCACUACAGAUACAUUCAUGAAGCCAAAUUAGUUACCACAAGCAGUAUGGGUUUGCAAUUCUGAACUUAAAGCCAGGGAUUAUGGAGAACUUGAUGAAACUAGUGUUUGGAAGUAUCUGCAAGUUUUGAGUAAGUUUCUAUAUAAUAUUUAAAAUGAACUUACAGCGAUUUAAGUGCAUAUGAACUGAACUUGGGAAAUUUCUAUGUAUUCCAUUUGGUACUUAAAGAAUUUGUAUUCUUUUUUGAUGU